rnacentral:lncRNA from 1 species
UUCUCCAGAGAACACUGAUGAAGCUUACAUUGUUCCAACUAUUCCGGCUCUAUCUUAAAUAUGGUGGCGGAACUUCAUUCAACUCUGUGGCCCCCAUGCACCACCACCCUGAAGCUUUCAAUCUGCAGACACUCUGGGAAGGGAAUAUCUGUUGGAUGAAUGGUGAGCAACUUAAAUCAAACCUUCUCCCUCAGGUGUGAUCAUAUCCAACUUCCUCACAGUUUUCUCUUCAGCUCCUUCAGAGGUUUAAGAGUCCAGCUGGACAGCCAAAUUGAAGCAGAAGUCUGUGCCAGAAUCUUGGAAUCUUAGUCUAAUCUCUGGAUAGCCUUGGGAGAAUCAGGCAAAAGGCAUCUGACAAAUAUGCCCAAAGUGAUUAUGUCACCUCAGCAGUAAGAGCAUUGUUCGGUGUCCUCAGUCACCUGAAAGCUCUCCUUGUUGCAGUUACGAUCUGAAGAGACCAGCCGCCGGCUGGCUGCUCAGCAGGGUGUCAUCACAAAGUGGCAUUACCAGGGUGAAGCACCAGAGGCUCAGGGCCUCAACUUUUCUGCAUUUGAUCAGAAAUUUGAUUGGACCUAUUGUUCAAGAUAAGCGUAUUAGUCAAGAGUUCUCCAGAGAAAUGGAACCAGGAAUGCCUUGUGCAGUAGGAUAUUAGGAGGAGAUUUAUCCUAGGAAUUGGCUCCCGUGAUUAUGGAGCCUGAUCUGUAAGCUGGAGAGCCAGGAAAGCUGGCAAUAUAGUUCUGUCUGAGUCCAAAGGCCUGAGAAUGGGGGCUGGGUAUAGGGGGGGAAUGAUGGUGUUGGUCCCGGGUGAGGCAGAAAUCCAACAACCAGGAGCACCAAUAUCUGAGGGGCAGGAAAAGAGAAAUGUCUCAGCUCAAGUUGAGAGAGCAAAUUUAUUCUUUCUCUGCCUUAUUCCAUUCUUAUUCCUCUACACCCUCAGUGUAGACUGGAGGAUCCCCACCUCAUUGGCAAGGGUGACCUUCUUUACUCAGUCUACUGAUUCAAAUGCUAAUCUCUUCCAGAGACACCCUCACAGGCACACUCAGAAAUAAUGUUUUACCAGCUGUCUGGGUCUCCCUUAGCCAAAUCAAGUUGAUAAAAUUAACCAUCAUAGAAGGGUGACCAAACUCUGGGAAACUAAGUCACACUCCCCCAAAACAGUUCCCAAUGGGUCAGAGAUUCAACCAACUGGAAAUUUAGUCCUUCUACCCUAGUGAAAUAAAUACAGAAACUUUAUGCACAAAAAGGUCAGAGGAUUUUUUUUUUCUUUUUAAAAAAAAUUUUUAAGUUUAUUUAUCUAUUUUGAGAGAGAGAGCAAACAGGGUAGGGAGAGAGAGACAGGGGAGAGAGAAUCCCAAGCAGUCUCUGCACUGUCAGCGCAGAACCUGAUGUGGGGCUUAAACUCACGAACCCUGAGAUCAAAAUCAAGAGCCUGACACUUAACUGAGUCACCCAGGCACCCCAAGAAUGUACAAUUAUUAAAGCACUGUAAGUUUUGAAACAGCCAAACUAAACAAUUCAGGUCAGAAUAUACAUGGAAAGACUGAAUUAUCUGAAUUGUGCACCCUACUCCCUGUCAUCAGAUGAUUAUAUGAUUUUGCUUUACUUUGUGCUCUGUAGACACAAGCUUGCUCUUUAGAAGAAGCUUCUUGGGCACUUUGUGAAGGAAGAGCUUAGUGCUUUGAAUGGUUUGUUGGGACUCCACCAUCCCUUUGGUGCAUUUACUUAUAUUUACUGAAAAAUUUACUUAUAUCUAAAUAAAAAGAAAAAUGAACACAUAUUAGCAUUUAGUAUAAAACACCAAACCUGAGUUAUAAACCACAUUCUACAUCAUGUCAUAUUUUUCUUUUUUAUAGGUUCUAUUGUGAAAAUUUCCCACCAUACACAAAAGUCAAGUAUAAUAAUCCUCCAUGGGCACCUGAGUGGCUCAGUUAAGCCUCUGAUUCUUGAUUUCAGCUCAGGUCAUGAUCUUACUUUUGUGGCUUUGAGCCCCCGCUUCAGGCUCUGCACUGACAGCCUGCUUGAGAUUCUCUCUCUCUCUCUGUCUCUGCCCCUCCCCUGCUUGUACUCUAUCUCUCUCAAAAUAAAUAAAUACCCCCCCCCCCCAAAAUCCCCCAUGAAUCUUUCACCUAACUCCAAUAAGCAUCUUAUUUUGCCGUCUUGUUUCCUAUCUCCCUCUUGGUUUGGCUAGGAUAUUUUAAAGUGAAUCCUAGACAUUAAAUGUCAUUUCACCCCAAAAUACUUCAUUAUACAUCUCAAAAUAUGACAUUUUAUAGUCACAGUGGCAAUAUCACACCUAAGGAUUUUUUUUUCUUGUAAGAAAAGGGGAUUAACUAUUUCAACUAUUACAUAGUUGGAAUUUUUCUUUAUAAUAGGCAUGUUUUACUGUUACACUAAAAUGCACAUUUGUAAGUUAUUGCAGCACAUAAUUCAUGUGUGAGACCAAAUUUUGGUUCUGUGAGGGUAGAGACCAUGUUAUUUUGCCUUGACCCUGUACCUCUAGCACAUAGCACAAUGUCUAAGAUGCUGUAGGUGCCAAAUGAAUUUCCAAAUAAGCUUCUUUACUCUUGUCAUUCUAUUCUAAUUUAAAAAGUGUUCACAGUCAUAUAAAUUAGGGAAAGGCUGUUUAGUCAACAGAGUCUUUAGACACUAUAGUCCAUAGUUUCCCAACUUGCAGAUAGUGUCUAUUAGUGGUUUGUGAAAUUAGUGCAGUGAAUCACAGCUGGCAUAAAAAAAAAAAAAAAAAGAAUAGAAUUCAGUAGGAAAAAAAAACAGUACACUUAAUGAGGAUAUUGUUUCAUGAAAUUUUGUUUCCGUUUUGCACAUGCUGUGUGGUGAUGUAAAAUGUAUUUCUUAACUCUGGGUUGCAGUCAAAAAGUUGGAGAGCCACUGGUCAGGUCUAAUUUAUACACACACCCUGCUCCCCAGCCAUAACAAACCACUUUCAGUUCCCUAAAAUGUCAUGCCAGUUUCUGCUCUAGAGGACCUGGUACUUCUUGUUUCCUUUACCUGAAACGUACUUGCCCUCCUUGUCUACCUGUGGGCCCCUGGCUUUCUCUUCAAGAUGCCGCUGAAGCCUCUCCCCUGUGAACCCCUGUGAUCCUUCUGAGCAGAUCCAGACUCCCUACCAGGUGUUUCCCCCUCCCCUUCCACCUGAUUCAUCACACUGCUGCUCACUAGACAGGUAGUCACCUCUUCUACUAGUGUGGGUUCCUGAGAAUGGGGACUUCAUGGUCCUUACUUCAUAUGCCAGGGCCCCAUACAAUGGCUGUAGCACUCAGUACAUGACUGUCAAAUAAUUACAGGGCAAAGCCUUUAUAAAAACAAAGCAGUUCUUUAUGUAAUAGAAUAGCAUCCAAACUGAAGCAUCCAAAUUUUUCAGCAGAAAGUGAAAAAGCAAGAUGCCAUAAAGUGUGGAUAACAUGCUGCCAGUGUGUGUGUGUGUGUGUGUGUGUGUGUGUGUGUGUGUGUGUGUGUUUGGUGGCAGAGAGUAGCUUUGGAAGAAUACAAAGGAAACUAAGUAACAGUGGUUGCCACCUGGGGACAGGCAUAGAAAGGACACUAUUUCACUCUCUGCCUCUUGAUUUUUGUGCUGUGUGCAUGGGUUACCUGUCAUGAAAAUUAAUUAAUAAAUAUUCCUCCAAAAUACUUUUAUAAGCAGUGAAUAUAAGAAAGACAAGAUUUAAAAAAAGACAAGAUUCAUGGCUUCCAAAUAUCCCACAUGUAGAAAGGCAUAAUUAUUUUUUCUCGACUGAUUAAAAAAAAAAAAAAAGCCUGUAUCAUCUGUGACACUUAAAGAUAAACCUAGACUUUUUCUGAUUUACAGCAAAAAGGAGAAGUUGCCUCUCCGUCUAACUAGGACAGCCUGGGUGUAAGGGGGAGACUGGGGUGAACGGAAUUGCAGUUGCCCAGAAAUAAGCAAACCUCCAACCUUUAUGGAAAACCACAGGUCCUUAGGAAAGCCUGACUAAUGAACACUCAGCAAUUGUCAAAGAAGGCAAUGGUAACAAAGGAGAAUCUAAGCUAAUUUUGUAAGCAUUUGGAGAAUAGGGUUCUUCUUCCUGCAUUCCUCUGAUGGGGCUCUCCAAAUUCUUCACUUCAUUAAAAUAUUCCUUUAUAUAAGGCUAAUUAUGAGAAUUAAAAGAGCUGCUUAUUACAGACCUGGGUUUCUAUGACAACAGUAAAAUAAAUGCCCAAGUGUCUGAAGCAUUGAGAAAAAUAAUAUACACUAAUAAUAGGUAACCCUGUGAAUCCUUUUAAUAAAACAACUAAUUGAGAGCCAGCUACUCUACAUGUUAUAACAAGAAUGACUGUGGAGAUCUGCAUACUUCUUAAAACCUAGCAAAACAUCCUCUGUUAAAGUCACUGAAAGGAUUCUGAGUCAAAAUACAUCCUACUUUAGGAGUAUCAUUGAGGUGUUCCAAGCAUACCUGUUGUGGAAGAAAAGAUAGUUUUCCCUUUUACAUUACAUUACAAACCUGUCUCUUGCAUUUCCUCCCUCCCUCCCUCUUGCUUUCUGUUUUGUUGAAGUGCCUGCUGAAAUCCUGGCAGGGGUGACCCUGGCCCCAGGUCAGGGCCUGCCCCAGAGCUGUGUGCAAAAGCAGCAGGGAACUUGCUCCCUCGUGCUGUAUCUGGUUCCUCUCCUCAGCAUGGAGGAUGGACUCCACAUGGGGAGCCCUGAGAUGGGCCUUUUCGGAUUAAUGUUCUCAAACGCGCAUUCUUUUCUGAAACAAGUUAUCUUCCAGACUUAUUGCAAAGCAAAUGGCAUGAUCCUCUAUAUUCAUUUGCUAUGGCUUCCAUAACAAAGUACCCCAGACCAGGUGGCUUACACAACGGAUGUUUAUUUGCUCACAGCUCUGCAGCCAGCAGUCCAAGAUCAGGGUGUCAGUGGGCUUGGCUUCUUCCGAAGCCCCUCUCUUUGGUGUGUGGGUGGCCAUCUUCUCCUACCUGUGUUUCCCCAUCAUCUUCCCUUUGUGUGUGCCAGUGUCCUAACCUCCUUCCCUUAUAAGGACACCAGUCAUAUUAGAUUAGGGCCCACCCUGAAAACCUCAUUUUAACUUAAUUACCCCUUUAAAGACCCUGUCUCCAAAUACAGUUACAUCCUGAGGUUCUGGGGGUUAGCAUUUCAACAUACGAAUUUGGGGGAGCACAGCAGGAUCAGUUCAUACCAACUAGCAUGCUCCUUUCCAAGGUCAUUUUGCUGUCCUUUCCAGUAAGGUGAGCACCACCCAAUAUAAUUGUUGUCUUUGUAAGAGGAGGGGAUUAGGACACAGAUACACAUAGAAGGACAAAUGCCAUGUGAACAUGAAGACAGCCAUCUACAAGCCAAGGAGAGGGGCCUCAGAAGAAACCAACCCUGCUGAUACCUUGAUCUUGGACUUCUGGCCUCCAGAACUGUGAGAAAAUAAAUUUCUGUUUAAGCCCCCUGAUCUGUGGUAUUUUGUUACAGUAGGCCCAGCAGACUAGUGCACUUAGACCAGAAGAAUUGUUGCGGCUAUAGCUUAUCCGACAAUCUGCCACACCCUCCAAGACCUUAUGUUCCUUGUGGUCUGGAAUUCUGUUGUUCUUGUGCAUCAUUGGCAUUAAAUAAAUAUUACGUGUUAUUAAGCCUGUUUUUCUUUUUUUUUUUUUUAAUUUUUUUUUUCAACGUUUUUUAUUUAUUUUGGGACAGAGAGAGACAGAGCAUGAACGGGGGAGGGGCAGAGAGAGAGGGAGACACAGAAUCGGAAACAGGCUCCAGGCUCCAAGCCGUCAGCCCAGAGCCUGACGCGGGGCUCGAACUCACAGAACGUGAGAUCGUGACCUGGCUGAAGUCGGACGCUUAACCGACUGCGCCACCCAGGCGCCCCUUAAGCCUGUUUUUCAAGGCAAAAGAAGAAAGAGAAGCCAGAGAAAAUGGUAAAGGAUCAGAGAACUAUGAGGGAACUAGAAGAAUGUGUCACAGAAGCCAAAGAAAAAGAGAAUCUUGGCAAGAGAUCUUUGGAAAUCUCAAGAAGGAUGAGGGCUGGGAAAUGGCCAUCGGAUUUGAAAAUUGGUAAUUGACACACCAAAUAGUUUGCAGCGUGAGAGGGGCUAAGAUGGGUGGCAGGGAAGAAAUUCACCAAGGAGAAUUUUACAUUUUUACCAUAUAUUUCUACUGCUUGAUAUGUUUUACAUUAAGGGUAUAUCUACAUGUAAAUUUUUUCUUAACAUAUAAUCAUUUUAAUUUUUUUUAAAUUUUUUUUCAAGAGAGAGUGCACAUGUAGGCACAUGAGCUAGGGAGGGGUAGAAGGAGAGAGAGAAAGACAGAGAGAAUCUUAAGCUGACUCCACACCAAGUGUAGAGCCUGAAUAUUUAACUGAGCAACCCAGGCGCCCCUCUCCCAUAUAAUUUUUAAAGAAAGAAAAUGAAGUCCUCUCUGGGCCCUCUACCCCUACCUUUUGGAAGUACAGACUUCCAGGAGUUUAGUGCACAUUCUUAUACAUUGCUGGGGAGUGCAAAAUGGAAGAACCCCAUUGGAGGGCAAUUUGGCAAUAAAAAAAAAAAUCAAAAUUAUAAAUGCAGUUAACUACACUUUAAUAAAGUUGUUUAAAAAACAUUACAAAUGCAUAAAUCCUUUACACACACACAUACAAAAUGGCACUAUGUACAAGGAUAUUCACUACAGCUUUAUGAUAGGAAGUCGGAAAUAAUCCAAGUGUCUUCCAAUAAGGGACAGUUAAAUAAACUGUGCUACAGACACACAAUGGAAUCUUAUCCUGCUGUUUAAAAAAAAAAAAAAAUGAGGAAGCUCUUCUUGUACUGAUAUGGAAAGAUUUCCAAGAUAGAUUAAAUGAAAAAAAUAAGAUACAGAACAGUUGUAUGCUCCUUUUAUGCAAGUAAGUAGGCAAAAGAAGAAUACAUUUAUAAGUAUACAAAUAAUAUAUGUAUUUUUAAAUUUGCUUAUAUUUGCAUAAAUAAACUCCAAAGGGAUAAGAAGCAAAUAGAAUUGGUUACCUGGAGAGAAGGGUGUAGAUAGGAACAGAGGAUCAUCCUAGAUUAUUUUCCCAUUUAUAUACAAUGUUAUUAGAUCCUUAUAACAAAUCUAAGGCAAGUAUUAUUAUCCCCAUUUUACAGAUGAAGAUUAGAAAAACUAAGUCACUUGUCCUAUUUAUCAGUUUAGGCAGCUGGUAAACAAGGAGCCUGAUUCCAGUCUAGCUCUGCCUGGCUCCAAAGUCCAUGCUGUAACAUCGUUCAAACUGUUCCCCAAAUAAACACAGGCCCCUGGUCUUCAGAUUUAUGAUCUAAAAUAAAUGACAUCAAAGGCAGAAUAAUCAAAAGUAAUAGCCAAACAUAUUUUAACAUGUUUAUGCAAAUACAAGGGGCUAGAGAUUGGGAGAUGUUUUUUUAUUAGAGGGGCUGGUUUUACUGGUGGUUUGUGUUUGUUUAUUUGUUCCUUUGUUGGCUUCCUGGCUUUUUAGAUGUCUGGUUUGGAAGCAAUAAGUGGAGGAGGGGAUGGAAAGAUGAUCUACUUUAUGUGGUAUAUACGGUUCCCUUAGGCAAAUAAUUUUUUUGAAGCUUUUGAAGUUUUGCAUUUGUGCUGUUUAGCUCCUGUACAUGUGGUCCAAGAAAGCCUGGAGAUAAAGGAAGGGAAAUAAAAGGUGAAGAAAAGUCCCUUCCUGGUUAAGACUUCUGCUAUCACUGCUACAAGUCUUCUGGGUAGAAAGGACUUACUGUCUGAGCAUAAAUGGAAAAGUCUGGAGUUCAUCCAACGACAAGAAGGUUUUGGCUCCCAGUUAAGUUAUACUGAGUGUUCUAGAUCUUUCCUUAACUAAUUGUGUCCUUUUUUCCAUGUCAUAAGGAAAUCUCUCUUAGGCCAGAAUCCUUUUCUAAAUGGAAAUAUCCAAGCCUUGAAUGAAGUAGCUCUUACUCUGAGUAGUUCACAUCCUGAAGUCCAUUGGUUACAUAUUCAUGGUUGUUAUUUAUGUGUAAGACCUGAGUGGUCCUUCAGAGGGGUUCUAAUUAGAACUCUCUGAAUGGCAAGGAUUUUUUUUCAAGUUUAGUGAAAAAGAGGGGAACCUUCAGAACCCAUAGUAGAAAGUAGAGUGUUCUCCAUGUCUCAGUUCUCUGACAAAGAUGGAAUAAUAGAGUAGUCGCUUCUUCCUGAGGUGACUCCUGUCCCCACUGCAGUGACUUACAAUGCAAGGACCACACAAAAUUGUUGCCCUAGUUCCAAACUACCUUAUGAAUACUUUGCCUUUGUCUUGCAGCAAAGCUGACAUCCGGGCUUGGCCCACGGGCCUUUGGUACUCCCAGCAUGACUAGACCACACCUUGUGGUGCUUUUGUUCUGGAGACCAGCCUCUCCUUGGCUCAUGACAACUAAUAGAAGAUAAAGCAAUCUUAGCUAUGACACUGCUAAAGUCAAUGUAGGGUAAAACUUUCCUUCUUUGUGGUCUUAAGGGGAAAUAAGAACCACUGUGAUCUGCAACACUUGAAAGAGACUUAGCACUCCCUUGGUAAUGGAUUAAGUAUGACACCCAGAUCCCCUCCCCCCCCCCCCCCCCCCCCCGCCCCUUCCACUGUCAGCAUCAAAGCAAAAAUCUGAAUGUGUUGGCUGGUGAAAUGGUUUAUUGGCUGGGCAGUGUCUCACUGUUUUCAUUCAGGGACCCUCAGUUCAUUAAUUUCACUACUUACUCAUUCAUUGCUCAUUUUCUCAUUCAUUCGUAUGUAUUGAGCCAGACGUUGUAUUAAGCACUGCGCUUGCAACAGAACAAGACAGAGAAGCAAUCCCUGACCUCAAGGAGCUUAUGGUCCAGCUGUAGUUCUCUCCCUCACCACUCCCAAACUUCAAACUGCUCCCUCUCAUCUGAUCUUCAGGCUUCAGAGCCAGAGCUCUGUCUCUCAAUCGGCAUGAGUGCCAGUUGUCACUGGAGAGCCCUUAGCCUAUCAGCUUCCAGCUGAAGGAAGUAGUGAAGUCUAAAAAUAAUCAGCAUUAUAUAGUUUGAAAUACCUUUCUUAUUUGGAAAACAACUCAUUUGAGCCUCACCACAUAUUUGAGCUGGGUGGAAAUUUCUUUCUUUCUUCCUUCCUUCCUUCCUUCCUUCCUUCCUUCCUUCCUUUAAAUAACAGCCUUAUUGAGACAUAAUUCACAUACCAUACAACUUAUCAUUUAAAGUAUGCAAUUCAGUGGCUUUUAUUUUUGUAAUGUUUAUUUAUUUUUGAGAGAGAGAGAGAGAGAACAAGCCGGGGAGGGGCAGAGAGACAGGGAGAAGCAGGCUCUGUGCUGAAAGCAGAAACCCCUAUGCAGGGCUCAAAUCUGAAUUGUGAGAUUAUGACCUGAGCCCAAGUUGGACACUUUAACCAACUGAGCCACCCAGGCGCCUCAUCAUUAGCCAUUUUAAAGUGUACAUUUAGUACACUUUAAAGUCAGUAACAUUUAGGGGUGCCUGGGUGGCUCAGUCAGUUAAGCCUCCGACUUCAGCUCAGGUCAUGAUCUCACAGUCUGUGAGUUCGAGCCCCGUGUCGGGCUCUGUGCUGACAGCUCAGAGCCUGGAGCCUGUUCCAGAUUCUGUGUCUCCCUCUUUCUCUGCCCCUUCCCUGCUCAUGCUCUGUCUCUCUGUCUCAAAAAUAAAUAAAAACAUUUAAAAAAAUAAUAAAGUCAGUAACAUUUAGGGUUUUCACAGUAUUGUAUAAACAACACCUCUCUGUAGUUUCAAAACUUUUUCAUUAUUCCAGAACUCCUGUACCCAUUAAAUAAUCACACCCCAUUUCCUCCUAUCCUUAACCCCUUGCAACCUCUAAUCUGCUUCCUAUCUGUAUGGAUUUGUCUAUUCUACAUAUUCUUAAAAAGGAAUCAUAAAAUAUGACCUUUUGUGUCUUGCUUCUCUCACCUAGCAUCAUGUUUUCAUGGCCCAUGCAUGUUGUAGCAUGUGUCAGUACUUUAUUCCCUUUUAUGGCUGAAUGAUAUUCCAUUAUGUUGAUAUUUCAUAUUUAUUUAUCCAUUAAUUAAUACUUCAUUUUAUACUUUGGAGUAUUUCAUUUUAUAUGUGAAGAAACUAAUGCAGAUAAUUGGCUGGAUCGUUCAAAGCCAGGUUUCAUGGCUCCCAAUCCAGUGCUCAUUCCAGAAAAUCCACUAGGUCCCGUAACUUAAAAGUACAUGUUCAUUUCUAUCUAAAACAUAUUUAUCAAUCAGAUUGUGCAAUAGGGAAUGAAGCUAAGAAAUGCAACAUAGAUUCUAGGACCAUCACCUCAGCAGCCUCCUCACUAUUUGCUAUUGCCUUUUACAGGUUUUUCCCAAUUUCCAGGGAAAAAAGAAAAGUCAAUAAAAAAAUGGUCCUUUGCCGAACAUAGUUCUCACUCUUGCCCCUGUCCCUUUCUCUGAUUCUAUGUCUCUCUUUUAUGUUGUUGUCUGUGAACAAGCCAUAGGUCAUUAGAAUGGGCCCGUGAGAGCUAAGACUGAGAAAAAAAGUUCCUGAUUAAAAAGAAGUACAUCAGAGGUCAACAGCCAUCAUCAUUCAACUUCAGUUGCCAAGGCACAGGCUCCAGAAUCCACAGGCCACAUACGCAAAUGUUAAGAAAUUCAUCCCAAUUACUCUUGUCUACCCAAUAGUUUUAUACACUUAGAUGAGGCACUUGGUGGGGAGAUAUUGUAGUGGAGGCUACUACAUUAUAAUAAUUAUUUCUGUAUAUGGAGAUUUUAUUCAGUUUUAAAAGAAAACAACUUGAGACCCUAUAACAAAGCAAAUCUGUCCAGCUUUAGAUCAAAUUCCAAGAGUAGCCAACUUCUGUUUUUCAGUAGCUUGGCCAGAGCAUCUGGCCUUAAUGAGCUCCACUGACAUUUCUUCAUCCCAUAUAGUGUAAAACAAAACCAAUCCAGACUCCUUGAUAAGCUUUACAUGAGUUUUACAAAUGGUUUCUCUAAUGGUAAGCCAAAAUCAUUUUUUGUAUUCUCUCCAGAUAACUUUACUGUAACAUAUAGUAAUGUGAGUCUUCUGUAAACUGUCAACCAAUGCUCUAUGAUAUAAAAAUCAAUAUACUGUAUAUGCAAGUGAAACAGUGCAUAGAUUCUAACCUGGACCUACUAGGAAAACAGUCUCAAUACAUUAAUCACAACACUGUGAUCUGUUCAGGCUGCUAUAAAGAACAUCAUAGACUGGGUGGUUUAUAAACAACAGAAAUUUCUCACUGUUCUGGAGUCAGAGAAGUCCAAGAUCAAGGUGCUGACAGAUUCAGCAUCUGGUGAGGACUCACUCCCUGGUUCGUAGACGGCCAUCUUCUCACUGUGUCCUCAGACAGCAGAUGAUAGGGCAAGAGAGCUCUCUGGGGUCUCUUUUGUAAAGGCACUGAUCCCAUUCAUGAGGGUUUCAUCUUCAUGACCUAAUCACAUUCCAAAGGCACCAUCUCCAAAAGCCAUCAUAUUAGGGAUUAGGAUUUCAACAUAUGAAUUUGGGGGGGACACAAAUAUCCGGUCUAUAGCAUAUAGUAAGGCUAAUAACGUUGAAUAAAUUAACUCAGAAACAUCACAAUUAAAUACCAGCGUAGUAAGCCAGGCUAAGAGAAGGAGGCUGAUAUAAACAAGAAAAUGUCAGAAUUUACUGUGCACAAUACCAAAUUGAUGUUUCAAGCCCAGUGAGUUUUUUGCAGUUCAUCUCUCAUUUCCCCUCCGUCUCCAGCUUUCCUCUCUUGGGGUUUCCUAUUCCAGGACUCAGUUAGCUAGCCAGAUUAAAUCUGGGUACAUCUGCCAGCCGGGAACUAUUCCAGUCAAUAGUGACUGCUGCUCCUCUUAUGAAUAUUUGUGUGCUAAGAACUAAUUCUAAACAUAUUCUAAUUCCAGUGCACCUCCUAUUCUAAUGGUUUGCUCUGUCCUGGCGUGGCUGGAGACAUAACGAGACCCACAAAUCAGCUCUUGGACAGCAGACCUCCUUCAGGGCAGGAAGCUCCAAGGGAGAGGAGUGAGUGUAUGUCUAAAAUGAAAAACCUGGUCUUUCCCUCCUGUUGUGGGAGGGGGGAAACCCUCAGUUCAGUCUGUCUCCUGAGUGUUUCUUUUACUACUCACACAAAACACUUCACUUCUGACACUUCUGGUCACCAAAUGUGUGGGGGGAGGGGUUCCCCCACAACAACAAGCAAGUCUCCAGCACCAGCUGGAUGUCUUACAAUUUGACUCAAUCCUGACACUAUCUAGCCAGAGACACACCCUCAUUUCAGAUGCCAGUUAAGCCCAGGUUAUUACCUGUGCUUCUGAACUACUAUUGAUAGGAGGUUCCAGUGACCCCCUCCUUGGGGUUGGUUAAUUUGCUAGAGCAGCUCACAGAACUCAGGGAAACCCUUACAUUUACCAGUUUAUUGAGGGAUAUAAUAAAGUAUACAGAUGAACAGCCAGAUAAAGAGAUACAUAAGGCAAGAUCUGGGAGGAUCCUGUGCACAGGAACUUUUGUCUCCAUGGAGUUGUGGUGCAAAAUCAUCCUCCCGGGAUGGAUGUGUUCACCAGCCUGGAACCUCUCUGAACCCCACCCCCACCCCCAGUACUAUUGGGAUUUUUUUGGAGGCUUCAUCGCCGUAGGCAUGAUGAGUCAUUAACUCCGUUUUCAGCCCUUCUCCCUUUUCAAAAGAAUGGGGGAGGGGAGCAGAGCUGAAAAUUCCAAACUUCUAAUCAUGGCUCGGUGUUUCUGGUGACCAGCCCUCAACCUGGAGGCACCCAGGGUUGCCUUCUUAGAAUAAAAGACACUCCUAUCACCCAGGAAAUUGUAAGGAUUUCAGGAGCCCUGUGUCAGGAACCAAGAGCAGAGAUCAGUGUAUAGUUUUUAUUAUCUCACAAUGUCCUACUAUAAUUUCUGAAAGAGACUAGGAGCAAAACAUCAAGGCAUAUUAAUACAGUACUAGGAAGAAUGCAUCUCUGAUUUGCUUGUUCAUCUGUAAGGGCGAACAAACCGAGAAUAACCAGUACAAGUUGAAGAAUACUGCAUAUAGUAUGAUUACAUUGGCUUAAAAUUUCAAAACUAUAUGUCCCCAGGGAUAUAUCCAAAUUUAGAAAUACAGUAAAGAAAUACAUCAGAAUGUAAACACCAUCCUGGAUAGUUGUUAACCCUAGGUGACAAAGAAGCAGUGCUUUCAGGGAAAGGCAAAGGAACUCAAUGGUAUCAGGAGUUUAAUUUCUGAAGCUGAGUGAUGGGUACAGGAGUGUUAGGAGCACCAUCUGUUCACAAUGGAGUUCCUUUUUUUUUUUUUAGUUUGUCAGUUUUAACGAUUAACAAAGUAAAUGUUGAGAGACACCACCACAUAAAUGAGAACUCUUUCUAGUCCUCAAUUUGUCUGUUUCAUGUGCCCAGUUAGUCUUUUUUUUUUUUUUUUUUUUUUUUUGAGAGAGUGUGUGCAUGCAUGCAAGCAGAAGGGCAAAGAGAGAGGCCAAGACAAAAUCCCAAGCAGACUUCUUUCUGUCAGCAUAGAGCUUGGCGCGGGGCUUGAUCCCAUGAACCUGAGCCAGAUGUUUAACCAACUAAGCCACCAGGCGCCCCAGCAUCUUUUCUUAAUUGUGGUAAAAUAUACAUAAGAUUUACCAUUUUAACCACACAGGUGUUCUUUUAAUGAUACUGGCUCACAUGUGACAGGUGAAUAUCAACAUGACACAGAAAUGCAGUUGGUUCAUACACAACUUUUCCAGUAUGUUAGUAUUUUGAAAUGAUCAGGGCAAACCUUCUCACAAAGAGGAAGUGUUCAUCAUAUUUGAGGACCCCAAGGAAAGAGCUGAAAAUCCCACAUCAGUGCCUUCCUUGAGUGGAUAUAGGGGCUGGUUUUGUGGCUUCAAGAACCUCUGCAUUUUCCACUACCUGAAGCCGUCUGGGGAAGUUGGCAGUGCAGAUAGCAAAUUAUGAAGACCCUUCUUAUGUUUAAAUAAAGUGAUUCAAGAAAGUUAGACUGUAUUUUUUAUAAGUUUUUAAAUUUAUUUUGAGAGAGAGAGAGCAAGCAGAGGAGGAACAGAGAGAGGGAGCGAGAGAAUCCCCAGCAGGUUCUGUGCAGUCAGUGCAGAACCCAACACGGGCCUUGAACCCACAGACCCCAAGAUCUUGACCUGAGCUGAAAUCAAGAGUUGGACGCCUAACCAAUUGAACCCCAAGAAAACUAGAUUGUAUUUUUAAUUAUGGUGAUGAGCAUCUCUUUUGGAAGCAAAUGCCUUUAAGGAGGAAACAGGGGUGCCAGGAUACAGGCUGCAAAGAAAGGCCAAGUGUUUGGUUGCAAAUGCGAAUGGAGAGUGAAGUGUGCCAGGAUAUUUAUUAGGAUGGUUAUUUUUAUUAGGGCUCUGCUUACAAACUUCGUAAGAUUUUGAGUGCCUGUUCUUAACUCUGUUCUUCCCAUAAGCCCUUUUAUUUGUCAUGCAUGAUUUGGCUUGGUACUAGGUUUUUCAAAACUACAGAAGAAUUGUUCUUGCUGUCUACAUAUACUUGUAUAUUCUAAACAAAUUUUAAAAGUAAGAAAAGGCUGUAAUAAGGAGAAAUAAUCUAAGUAGGAGAGUAACUUCUUUUCCGUCUUCUGGGCUGAUGUUAACCCAGGGGCGAGGCAAAUCAAAAUGGCUUAAACAAUAAGGAAAAUGUAUUAUUUCAUACAACAUAGAGUUCCAAACAUAGGGUGGCACAUGUAGAGUAACAUAAUGAUGUCUUUGAGGUCUGAGUCACUUUCCAUCUUCCUCCUCUGCCACCCUUACCAUCUUGGCGUUCAUCCUGAACUUGUGCCUUCUGGACACAAGAUGGCUGCCAUAGCUUUAAAACUCAGUGUCAUGUAACUGUGUUCAAAGGCAAAAAGAAGUUUUUGCUUUAGAGUCUUUUUUUUAUUAGGGAGAAAACUCUUUCCAGAAGUCCACCUGCAGAUUUCCUUUCAGGUUUCUUUUGCCAGAGUUGGAUCACGUGGCCAUCCCCUAGCUGCAAGAGAGGCUGUUUAAUUUUUAGCCUUUAGAGAGGGAGGCAGCUCUACCAGCAAGGAAAACACGAUGGGAAUGGCUCUUGGGUUGGCAACCAGCACUGUCAGCCAAGGUAGUAGGUGACCAGUCAGGUCUAUCAGCAGACAUAAUCAAUGCUUUACUCCAUGAUGUCACCUUUAAGAUUAUUCCAGUUCUUAAAUGGUCUUUUCAUCACAAAGUCUGUAAUGUACCACACCCUCAAAUUCACCCUAUGCCUUUCUGCCUCCCAUCUUUUGCACAUUCAGUUCCCUCAGCCUGGGCUUCUGUCUCCUUCCCCAUCUGCUUUUAGACAUAGAGUCCACUCUUGAAGAUGCCACUCAAACACCACUGUCUCAGUAAAACCUUCCAAAUAAUUGGUCAUUCUUUGCAACUCUUUCCUCUGGUCUCCCAUAGCAUGGGGAAAUUCCCCGACACAAGGUCUAGCAAAGGGUCUACAAAGGCUCAACAAUUCUGGCGAAUUGAAUUGAACUGUUUUGCCCUCUGAGCUGAAGAAGGAAAUUUAAUAGAAAACAAGUUUCUCUUCAUAUUAUAGUAUUUGAGGGGAUUUGAGUGAAGUGAUAUUGCACAAAGGAGCCACCCUAAAAGUUUAACAUUGUGUUUUUCUGUUUUACACUGUGCUUUAACUAUAAAAAUAUUUCUUGCCCAAAUUAUUUAGGAAGUUGACCUAAAAGCAGUUGUUUUCCUCUCCCAAAUUAUUGGAGUGACUGUUUUCACCCUUUCAAAUUCUUUAACUUAUAAGCACUGGUCUUUAUCGAUUUUUAACCUGCUUCUCAAAAUUAGUAACAUGUUGGGGCGCCUGGGUGGCGCAGUCGGUUAAACGUCCGACUUCAGCCAGGUCACGAUCUCGCGGUCCGUGAGUUCGAGCCCCGCGUCGGGCUCUGGGCUGAUGGCUCAGAGCCUGGAGCCUGUUUCCGGUUCUGUGUCUCCCUCUCUCUCUGCCCCUCCCCCAUUCAUGCUCUGUCUCUCUCUGUCCCAAAAAUAAAUAAACGUUGAAAAAAAAAAAUUAAAAAAAAAAAAAAUUAGUAACAUGUUAAUAGUUGUUCAAGUUGGAUGGUAGGUGCACGGGAAUUCAUUACACUACUCUACAUUUGUGUAUGUUUAGAAUUUCCAAAAGUAAAAUUAAAAACUAAUUGGUUGGGGCGCCUGGGUGGCGCAGUCGGUUAAGCGUCCGACUUCAGCCAGGUCACGAUCUCGCGGUCCGUGAGUUCGAGCCCCGCGUCAGGCUCUGGGCUGAUGGCUCGGAGCCUGGAGCCUGUUUCCGAUUCUGUGUCUCCCUCUCUCUGCCCCUCCCCCGUUCAUGCUCUGUCUCUCUCUGUCCCAAAAAUAAAUAAACGUUGAAAAAAAAAAAAAAAAAACUAAUUGGUUCCAUGUUUCAGAACCUUUGAAGCUUAUGGUUAUGUAUUUAAUAGAAAGUAUAGUAGAUAUUCAAAUAUUACACAUGGGAAAUUAGUUUCCAUUCAAUUCAGACACAAAAUCUGCAGUCUUUUUGGUAGGGUUUUCUUCUUUCCUUCCCCAGAUUCAAUGAGUCAUGAAGCUUUAUUCUUCCAUUUACUUUUGGGAAAAAAGUGCCAAUGCAGAGUAUGAACAUGUGCCAGCUCGUCAAUGAUGUUAAAGUUCUCACUGUUGAGGGGCACUUGGGUGGCUCAGUCAGUUAAGUGUCCGACUUCAGCUCAGGUCAUGAUCGCAUGGUUUGUAAGAUCGAGCCCCAUGUCAGGCUCUGUGCUGACAGCGAGGAGUCUGCUUGGGAUUCUUUCUCCCUCUCUCCCUCUCUCUCUCUGCCCCUCCGCUGUUCAUCCUCCCUGUCUUGCAUGCUCUCUCUCUCAAAAUAAACAUUUUUAAAAUGUUCUUUAUUGUUGAUAUGUACUUUUUUCUUUUGAUUAGAUACUUCUGUGGCCAUGUUGGGUCUUUGUCAGGUGGGUUCCAAGUGCGAUGGUUUCACAUUUGCUUAAGUAAGCUAGAGAGCUUUCAUAUAAGGGAAGGGAAGAGGAGAAGGGAAAAAGAAAGAAAGAAAGAAAGAAAGAAAGAAAGAAAGAAAGAAAGAAAGAAAGAAAGAAAGAAAGAAAGAAAGAAAGAAAGAAAGAGGAGAGAAAGAAGGAAAGAAAAGAAAAGGAAAAGGAGAGAAAAAAGAAAAGAAAAAAAGAAAAGAGCUUUGACUCAGCUGACACCAAAUUUUGGCAACAAUAGUUAACCAAAGGCAAAAUUAACCAAAAUUCUUUUAGGUGAGAUAACAACUUUACACUUUAUGUGAUCUCAGUAAAUGUGUCUUUCAGUUCAUAUAAAAGGAACUACAGAGGUUGCAUUUUAUCACAUUUUUUUGUAGAAGAUAUACACAGCAGAGCUUCCUCCCUUGUUCCCUUUUUACAAAGUUCUGUCUGUCCUCCACGGCUUAGUUUAAAUUCUGCCUCCUCUGUGAAACCCAAGAUUGAGGUCUCUAUUGUAAUAAAAACAAUUAUUACAAUCUUAGCCAACUUGUAUUGAACUCUUACUAUACCAGAGGCCACAAGUUGAAGAGCAAUUAUCUACCUACUCACCAAACUCAUUUGGGAAGAAUACCAAGAAUAGAGUCCCAAGUCCUUCCUCUAGAGAGCCUAAUUUGGUAGCUCUGAGGUGAGCCAUGGAAUUUCCACUUUAAUAAGAACCUUCUGGUGAUUCUUCAGCCCAGCUAAGUUCAGGGAACCAGGUGGAAUGAAUAAACCCUGGGCCCUGGACACCCUUUGGAUGCAGACUGCCUGGCCUGCAGACUAUGAAGAUUCAUUAGCUUCCUGUAAAAUCCGCUGCUAAGUAGCUUUUAUUGUGCUCAGGCUUCAUGUAUAUUCUUCUACUUAGUUCUUGCAACAACCCCAUGAGAAAAUUGUUAUUAUCUCCACUUUAUAGUAGGAGAAUCAAAACAGAGGCUGAGGGAGAUGGUGACCUGCCCAAGAUUAUAUUGAAAGCAGUGCCAGGAAAUCCAGGUGUGCUAUGUCCCGGAGCCGACUAGUGUUGUCAGAACCACAAGACUGAAUGUUCACUCUCUUUCUUUAUGAAUCUUCUCUUUAUGUGAAUGAGCCUGUUAAAGUUAGAGAUAUAAUGAGUCUUAAGUUGGUUGGCUUCUCUGUAUUACUGUGGGUCACCAGUGAGUUGGGACUCUUCUCAGCUUUGCAGCCAGAAGCUCAAGGUUUCCAGUUUAUGCAAACUCUAGCAACUACUUGCUUAACCAAAUUCAUAGGAGGCUGACCAAGCACAUGUAAUGCUAGUAUGUUCAUGGACAACGGGAGGGCACCUACCUGAAUAUCAACCCAGUCAAGGGACUAAAUCACAGGGUAAAAAGAAGAUAGUUGGGUAAAUCUGGAAUCAGAAAUAGGAGUGGGAUGCCAUGCGGCAAUAUUUUCAUCAUGCUAGGUUAAGCAAACAAAUGACUGUUUCUGCAUGGAAGGGAUAUAUCUGUCCAAGCAAUAGGGGUGGAGGUCAAGAAACAGAGCUCUUAUCAACUCUCUUAAGAAAGCACUGAAUAAAAGGUAACAAUUCUUAUUUUCUAGUCUUCCUUUUAAAACAAAUCUCCAUAGGGGUGCCUGGGUGGCUCAGUCGGUUAAGCAUCCGACUUCAGCUCAGGUCAUGAUCUCGUGGUCCGUGAGUUUGAGCCCUGCGUCGGGCUCUGUGCUGACAGCUCAGAGCCUGGAGCCUGUUUCACAUUCUGUGUCUCCCUCUCUCUCUGACCCUCCCCCAUUCAUGCUCUGUCUCUCCCUGUCUCAAAAAUAAAUAAAUGUUAAAAAAAAUUUUUUUUAAACAAAUCUCCAUAAGCACAGUUUGUAAAACUAUCUUGAUUAUAAGCAUCUAAGAGCCCAACUCACCUGGCUUACUGAAAAUCUAAGUUGCAGAAGACCUGGCCUCACCAUGGCCAGAUUGGGCCAGAUGGUUUGCUGCUUUCCAUGUACUGUGUAAUUCUCAGGCUCCACGUGGAAGCAAGAUGGCUACAGCUACAGUUGCUGCAGCCACAAGGUCCAAGUACAACAUGAAAGAAAAGGAGCCUCUUUACAGUGGCUUCAAUUUAACUCGCUUAAAUUACUUGCUCACCUUUGAACCAAUCAUGAGGCAAGAGGAAUGUGAAAUGCUGAUUGGCGUGGGCUUAGAUCAUGUGCUAUUCCUCUUGAGGCAAAGGUGGAGCCCCAGACACUUCAUAGGCUAUGGAAGGAUGGAUGCCCAAACCAAUAAAAGGCACUCUUGCUGAAAAAAAUGGGAAUAGAGGUAAACAAAGAUCAACUAAACUAUGGCUUCAUGCCCAAUACAGUUAAGGUAUCAGGUGACAAUGUUAGUUUUCUUCUGACAAUAACCACAGGCACACCUUCCUCAGGUACCCCAGUCAGCUUCUUUGAGCUUGGGUAUCUCUCACAAACCAUUUCUUAACAUGGGCAAUUUCUGCAGUGGACUAAACUCCUUCAACAUGAGUAGUUCGACUUCCCCAGCAUUAAAAAAAAUAUAUAUAUAUAUAUAUAUAUAUAUAUAUAUUUUUUUUUUUUUUUUUUUUUUUUUUUUUUUGNNNNNNNNNNNNNNNNNNNNNNNNNNNNNNNNNNNNNNNNNNNNNNNNNNNNNNNNNNNNNNNNNNNNNNNNNNNNNNNNNNNNNNNNNNNNNNNNNNNNNNNNNNNNNNNNNNNNNNNNNNNNNNNNNNNNNNNNNNNNNNNNNNNNNNNNNNNNNNNNNNNNNNNNNNNNNNNNNNNNNNNNNNNNNNNNNNNNNNNNNNNNNNNNNNNNNNNNNNNNNNNNNNNNNNNNNNNNNNNNNNNNNNNNNNNNNNNNNNNNNNNNNNNNNNNNNNNNNNNNNNNNNNNNNNNNNNNNNNNNNNNNNNNNNNNNNNNNNNNNNNNNNNNNNNNNNNNNNNNNNNNNNNNNNNNCCCACCCCCAUGCUUGCCCGAGCUCUCUCCCUCUCUCUUUCUCAAAAUACAUAAAUAAAUAUUUUAAAAAUAUAUUUCAAAAGAUUAUUACAAAAGUAAUAUGUUUGUGGGGGGAAAAUUCAAAUAACACAGAAGUGUGUAAAGUUAAAAAGUAAAAUCAUCAGGUUUUAAGAAUGUGACCUAAACUCAUGCUGAAAUCUCUACCUCCUUAUAAGACCCUGAGAAGAAAUUUUAAAGACACGAAAAGGAAGGACGGGACGGAGGGAGAAAAGUAAAAACAAUAUAGCCACUCCUGGAAGUAAGAAAGGCCCCUCUCCAUAAUGGCUGAGCAGCAUUCCUUAAGGAAGGGGAGAUGGGAAACCAUGUGAGGAGCUGAGGCCCCCAAUCCCGGAACCUCCACAUGGGCAUUAACAUAGCCAGGCCACAGCUGACUCAGGGUGGAGGCAGAGAUACAGUCCAGGUAGCAGGUGAGCUCACCCAGCCUCUGAAAAAGGCCAGCACCAUCCAAAAGAGACAGAAACCUCCACAAAAGGAGGACCUUGCACUUGAGAAAACACAGAUACCAGAACAAUGAGGAUGUGAAAAUUAGGGAUUUCAGAUCCUCAGAGACACAGUUCUCAGUCUCCAUUCUGGAAUAGCCAGGGAGCUUUUGCAGAUCAAGAUACUCACUGCUCCCCAGACCACAUUUAACUGCUCCUUAGACUUCACUAACCCCCAAUUAAGUCAGAAUUUCUUGGGACUCAAGCAUCAGUAUUUUUAAAGUUUCCAGGUGAUUCCAGUGUGCAGGCAAGGUUAAUUUCAGCUAUCCAGUAGGGAAUCACAUUCAUGAAAUGAAAACAGAAGGCUUAGGGCGCUUGGGUGGCUCAGUCGGUUAAGCGUCCAACUUGGGCUCAGGUCAUGAUCUCGUGGUUUGUGAGUUCAAGCCCCUCAUUGGGCUGUCUGUUCUCAGCACAGAGCCCGCUUUAGAUCCUCUUCUGUCUCCCUCUCUCUCAGCCCCUCCCCCACUUGUGUUCUAUCCCUCUCUCUCUCUCUCUCUCAAAACUCAACAUUAAAAAAAGAAAACAGAAGGCUAUGAAACAACAACACAUGAUCCUAAGAAAGAAUCAGCUAAUGAUGCUGAAAAUAAAAUAAAAUUGUAGACAGAAAAAAAUUAAUAACCUGAAUAUCUGACUGGAAAUGACCUGAAGGCAGUCCCUUCAGAUGAGCCAUGUCCCAGCAUUUGUUCUGCCUCUUUCCUCCCCCAAGCCCUCCCUCCCUCUCUUUCUCUAUUCCCAAUCUUAGAUCCUGUAAAUACAGUCAAAAGAGCACCAUAUAAAAGUCUAGCAAACACGAGCAACAAAAAAGUUUCUGGGAGACCAGCAGCUGCAGGUCACAGGAGUUCUGUGAAAGUGUGCUCUUUCUAACUGCCUUGGCUCCCCUUUGCCUGCGCCUUGGUGGGAUUCAAACUCAGGGCCUGGGAGGCACACCUGGAACUUUCAGUGAGGGUACAAAUGGGGAAGCCUUGAACGAAGGAAUAGUUCAGUAGACAUCUCACUGUGCCUUCAUCUACUCUUUUCUCCUCCCACACCUCCCUCCUAGGAAGAUAAAAUCUGGCAAAAAUGAUCAAUUAGGACAGCUUUAACGGGGAAAAUAGACUCAAGAAAGCCACCUGCAGCAUGUGGAUGAAAGGGGACCCUCCAUCCCACCCAUCCCCCCUCUCUGUCUCUGCUGGCCCCAGCAGCAUCAGGGCGGGCAGAGAAAGGCUUGCUCUAUCCUACGGACAAUUUAGUAUUUGCAUGACACAGGUGGGGCUGGCAAGCACCCCACACAGUAAAUUUGGAAGGCCAGAAAAACAGCAGUGAGGAGCUAGAGUUUUGGAAACAAACCUGGGUUUGACUUCCCGGCUGCCACUUAUUCGUUUGGGACCUUGAAUGCCUUGGGUUUCAAUUUCAGGUCAAUGCUUGAGGCAAAUGUCUUCACUGAGGCAUUCAGAGAUUCAGUACCUGUUCUGGUGAUAAUAUCGCCCACCUCCUAGCAUAGGGCUAGAGAUUAAACUAGAUAAUGUAAAGCCCCUAGCACAGGGGAGGUACUCAACAGAUGGUCAGUCAUUCUGCCCUUCUGAAGGAAUCCCUACAACCAAGUCUCAGUUACUAACCGGAAGCUGUUCUCUCUCUAGGACCUGAGAGCUGAAACACACAGGUGAGAUCUGUAAUAUUCUCCAAACUAUUUAUAAGCAUGUGCUCUUGCUAUGCACAUAUGUUUCACAUAGUUAUAAUGCCCUAUGGAUAUCUAUUUUUAGGGGUGUAAAAAUAUCUGGAUUUAUACAACUUUCUCCAGAUGUUUUUAUAUACACUGGAUUUCAUUUUAUCCACAAUAAAGGGAGUGAAUUUAGUUUGGGAGGGACCAUUAGCACUUUCAGUCUACAAAGACCCUCUGAAAAAGAUAGUUCCAUCCACCGAUAAACUUGCCUCUGAAGGAUCUUGGGCUGGGAUCUUGCUGAUAAAAUAUUAAUCUGCAUGAGACUUCUAUUUGGAAGCAUAUCAAGACACUCCUUGCAAAGAUUUUUUAAUUAAACUUUUUAUUUUAGGAUAACUGUAGAUUCAUAUGCAAUUAUAAGAAGUAAUACAGAUAGAUCUCCGGUAUCCUUUACCGGUUUCCCCCAAUGGUAUAGCAUCUUUCAAAACUCUAGUACAGGAUCAGAACUGGGAUAUUGACUUUGAAAGAGUCAAGAUACAGAACAUUUCCAUUGCUGCAAGGAUCCCUCUUGCUGCUUUUUUCAGAGCCACACCCACCUCUGGCCCCAGCAGAGGACCCCCAGCAACGUCUAAUGUGUUCUUCUUGUCCAUAAUUUCAUUCUUGUCAUUUCAAGAAUGUAUAAAUGGAAUGAUAUAGUAUGUAACUUUGGGGGUUAGCUUUUUUUCACUCAGCAUAAUUCUCUGGAGAUUCAUCCAGGUCAUUGAUUUUAUUUAUUUUCUUAAUUUUUCUAAGUGCUUAUUUUUGAGAGAGAGAAAGAGAGCAGGAGAGAGUGGAGGGGCAGAGAGAAAAGGAGACAGAGGAUCCGAAGCAGGUUCUGUGCUGACAGCAGAAAGCCCGACGCAGAUCUCGAACUCACAAACCGUGAGAUCGUGACCUGAGCUGAAUGAAGUUGGACGCUUAAUUCACUGAGCCACCCAGGUGCCCCAGGUCAUUGCUUUUAUCAAUAGUUUGUUGCCUUUUGCUACUGAGUAGUUUUCCAUGCACCACAGUUUGUUUAAACAUUCACACAUUGAAAGACGUCUGGGCUAUUACAAAUAAAGCUCCUGUAAACAUUCAUGUGUGGGUUUCUGUGUGACUAUGAGUCUUCAUUUCUCUAAAUGCUUGGGAGUGCAAUUGCUGAGUCAUGUGAUAGUUACAUGUUUAGUUUUAAAAGAAAUGGCCAAACUAGUUUUCAGAGUCGUUGUGCCAUUUUACAUUCCUACCAGCAAUGUAUGAGUGGCCCAGUUUCUCUGCAUCCUCAUCAGAAUUUGUUAUUGUCACUAUUUUUGUUUGUUUGUUUGUUUGUUUAGCCAUUCUGACAGGUGUACAUAAUAUUUCACUGGGUUUUUUUUUUUAAUUUUUUUUAAUGCUUAUUUAUCUUUGAGAAAAAGAGAGAGACAAAGCACAAGCAGGGGAGGGACAGAGAGAGGGAGACACAGAAUCCGAAGCAAGCUCCAGGCUCUGAGCUGUCAGCACAGAGCCCGAUGGGGGGCUCAAACCCACGAACUGCAAGAUCAUGACCUGAGCUGAAGUUGGAUGCUUAACCCACUGAGCCACCCAGGUGCCCCAAUAUUUCACUGUGGCUUUAAUUUGCAUUUCCAUAAUGGCUAAUGAUGUUGAACAUCUUUUCAUGUGUUUCUUUGCCAUCUGUAUUCCUCUUUGGUGAAGUGUUUCUUCAUUUUACCCAUUUUAUAAUACGAUUUACUUUUUAUUGUUGAGUUUUGAGAGUUCUUUUAUAUUCUAGAUACUGGUCCUUUGUGGAAUAUGUGAUUUGCAAAUAUUUGCUCCUGUGUUGUAGCUUCUCUUUUUAUUCUUUUAACAGGGUCUUUCUCAGAGCAAGUUUGUAAUUUUGAUGAAGUUUGAUGAAAAUUUUGAACCAUUUUGAAAAAUGGUUUAACCAUUUUUCCCUUUACAGAUGAUACUUUUGGUGCAAGUCAGAGAAUCCUAGAUUCUGAGAUUUUUCUCCUUAUGUUCUUUUCUAAAAGUGUUGUAGUUUCACAUUUAAGUCCAUGAGUUAAUUUUUGUGUAAGGUGUGAGACAUAGGCCAAGAUUUGGGGGUUUCUUUUUUGGUUUUGGUCUGUGAUUUCUAAUUGUUCUAGCAACAUUUGUUGAAAAGGUUAUCUGGGCCACGAGGCAUGGGAGGAAGGGUGUGCCUUCCUUGCAGCACAGCACAGCCAUCCCUGUGAGAGGAUGCCACCACUUGGGGCCCUGCAGGGGCAUGCUAGCUCAUAGGGCUCCUCCAGGAAAUGUCUGUCUUCCUGCACCCACAUUCCUCACUCACCUCCACCUCUCCAGGGACACUCAGCAUCAUCUGUCACUUCACUGGGCUUAGGCUUUCCUUAAAGAAUGGAAGAGCUACUGGGUUCAGGUGCCCAUGGACUUCCCAGCCCGCAAGAAUCCCUCAAGCCACAGGCGUGAGCGAGCCUGGCUCCCUGCUUGAAAGGGGGAGAGAAGGAUGCCUAGAGAAAGAAGAAACAUAAAUGAAUACUUCAGUAUUUUGUCACAGAACUAUUUUACAUGCUAGUUUUUACUUCUGAUGAUUGCCUUAUUAACAAGUGAUAGCAAGAAAAAAUCAGCAGUUACUUUUAUUUUAUUAAUAUUUUUGUUUAACAAGCAACAUAUAUAGCAGGUAUCAUAUACCAGGUGCUGCUCAGAGCUGUUUAUGAAUACUAAUCCAUUUGGGGCACCUGGGUGGCUCAGUCGGUUGAGCACCCAACUCUUGAUUUCAGCUCAGGUGAUGAUCUCAUAGUUCGUGAGAUCAAGCCCCAUAUCAGACUUGGUGCUGAAAGCCUGGAGCCUGUUUGGGAUUCUCCCUCUUCCUCUCCCUCUUGUGUGAGUGCACACUCUCUUUCUCUCUCUCAAAAUAAAUAAAUAAACAUUAAAAAAAAUUAAUGCUAACCCACUUAGUUCUCAUAGCAACUUUAUAAGGUAGGUCCUAUAAUUGUCCCCAUUUCACAGAUGAGGAAAAAACGAUGACACAGAGAAAUUAAGUAACUUGCUCAAUCAAGGUCACACAGCUAGUAGUGGCAAAGCCAGGAUUUGAACCCAGUUUGUCUUUAAACAGUGCAAUCCUAAUUACAAUGGCAAUUCCUGAGAAUUCCUCUUGAGAAUUGAAUUUUUUAAAUGUACUUAUUUUUGUAAUUAGAAGCUCAUUUUCCUUUAGCUUGACCUUUAUGACCAAUUUUAAAGAUCACGUCUCUGUUCUCUAAAUCUGUCUUGCAUGCUAUUGACUAAAAAUCACUUAAUCAUUUUGAAAAAUAACCUCUUUCAUCUUUUCAGAAAACAGCUUUCCAGGAGAGCUUUCUCCCUGAUGCUAUCAGAGCCACUAUUUUUCUUAUUUAGCAUUUGUCAAAUGGCUGCAAUUUGAUACGUGGGGGAAGCAAGGUUGAGGUGACACUUGCCAGAAAAUAAAUAAUAGCUGGUUGGUUUCACAACUAACAACACCAUUCUUCAAUUUUCAGGUGAGUCAGAAUUUUUAAAAACAUAUGUGAAAUACACAUAAAGGACUAGAGAAAUAGAAGUUGUGGCUGUCUGCGCUCUUCAUCCACGAGAACCCUGAAAACAGAAGCAUUCCCACCAGCCUGACCCUGACAUCACAGCAAGAACCUCCAAAGCCAGUCUUUGCCAAAUCAGUAGGAUAGAGAAGCAACCGCAGAGGAAAGGAAAGGACAACAAUGACCCAUACGUUAUUGCCCAAGUGCUUAUGAGCAAAGGCCUGUGGAGGCAAGAUUGCGCCAAACCUGUUACAGGAAAUUAGAUAACACGUAUUGUUUGGAAGCUUCAGCUCUAUCCUCCAAUUCCAUUAGCUAUUCCUUGACUCUCAAUCCUUUGGGGGUCAGGGCCACGUCAACUCCAGCGCUGGGGUCUCCAAGAAGAACUCAACUGACAGCUACGACUGCCCACCCAGCACCCGAUCACUUGGACCCUGGGGCUGCAGGUCUAGGCAGGGCCCCCGAAGGCCCAGCUAUGUGGCUGGUGUUCACUUGGUGGCUCAUUUUCGCUCUGAUAUUUUGGGAUCCCAAUUAAUGUUCAUACCUUUUGAGACUUUAUUAUUUACUCCCAAAGAACAGUUUGUUUGUUUUUUAAGUUUUGGUUAGAUGCAGACUUCUCAAGGGCAGAAAUUUCUGAAUUAUCUUUGUAAUCCCAGGACUUGACACGUGGAAGCCAGCACAGAGGACAACAAAGAAAGAAAGGUAGCCAGUCUUCCCGAGAGACCUGGAGGGAACAUUUUGAUAGGUCUCCUUUCUUCUAUAAAUGUUUUUCCCAGGGGUGAGAAUAUAAAGUAUGUACAAUUUGCAAUCCUACUUUUUGCUUUCAAUUAAUGUGAUACAGGCAUUUUCCUGUGUGCUAUCAUCUGAAUCUGAAUAAUUGGGCCUCCCACCCCAGAUUUACAUGUUGAAAACUUGAUGCUCUAGGUGGUAGUAUUAGGAGGUGGGGCCUUUGGUCAGUAGGCCAUGAGGGUGGAGCCUUCAUAAAUGGGAUUAGUGUUCUUAUAAAAGAAUCCCCAGACAGCUUGCUUCCCUCUUUUACAAUGUGAAGAUAUCACAAGUGUGCGACCUGAAGAGGACCCUUACCCCACCAUGCUGGCACCCUGAUCUUGGACUUCCAGCCUCCAGAACUGUAAGAAAUAAAUUUCCGUUGUUUAUAAACAACCUAGUCUUGGGGCGCCUGGGUGGCUCAGUCAGUUAUGCGUCCAACUUGCAUCCAGCUUUGGCUCAGGUCACGAUCUUGCGGUUCGAUUCGUGAGUUCGAGCCCCGCAUCAGGUUCUGUGCUGACAGCUCAGAGCCUGGAGCCUGCUUCAGAUUCUAUGUCUCCCUCUCUCUCUGCCCCUCCCUUGCUCAUGCUCUGUCUCUCUCUCUCUCUCUCUCUCUCAAAAAU